GACGAACGCUGGCGGCGUGCUUAACACAUGCAAGUCGAACGGAAAGGCCCUGCUUGCAGGGUGCUCGAGUGGCGAACGGGUGAGUAACACGUGGGUGAUCUGCCCCUUACUUUGGGAUAAGCCUGUUAAACUGGGUCUAAUACUGGAUAGGACCAUGCUUUAGGUGGUGUGGUGGAAAGAUUUUUUCGGUAAUGGAUGAGCUCGCGGCCUAUCAGCUUGUUGGUGGGGUAAUGGCCUACCAAGGCGUCGACGGGUAGCCGGCCUGAGAGGGUGGACGGCCACAUUGGGACUGAGACACGGCCAAGACUCCGACGGGAGGCAGCAGUGGGGAAGAGUGCACAAGGGGAGCAAGCCUGAUGCAGCGACGCCGCGGGGGGGAUGGCGGAAUUCGGGUUGUAAACUCCUUUCAGCCAUGACGAAGCCUCUUUUGGGGUGACGGUAGUGGGAGAAGAAGCACCGGCUAACUACGUG
rnacentral:rRNA from 1 species